CAUGUGCGUAUGGGCCACGCUCUAAUGGAAUCAACAUCAACAUUCGAGCACGCUGAGCAUCAAUCAUGAACGAGCCGGCAUGUGACAGCUGACCGCGAGCGAAGAAGGAUCGUCCAUCUAUGUUGGGUCAUCUGGAAUUGCCGACUGACAUGCUUCGCGCUGAUGAGUGAGCCAUCAUCAUCGCGUCUAUCUAUAAAUAGACGUCUAAAUCUAUAAACGACGAGUAUUUUGCCUGAGUUCUUCAAUGUACUGCUGCUAACGCGUUCGUGAUCCCAUUGUGUCUCUGACCAAGAUUGAUCGAGUGUCGGCGAUAAGGCAGACAGGACUCCGGUGCCUCCGAAGGGUGCAGACAGCCAUGUAGAAUGUGGUGAAGUUGUACCACUUGUGCAGAAGGUCUACACGGAUGGUAACAGCGACCUGAAGGUGGUCCGGGCUAUGCUUGCACGGACCGGUGUUUUGUGGCUGGAGCUGAGCAACUCGUAGCAGCUCCUGCCCAUGCUCCUGCGGAUAUUGGCCGGGGCCCAGUACUGGAUCGCGGUCGUUGAGCUCCUCACGGAGAAGCCCGCGAAGGCCUGCACCUUGUGUCAUUGCCGCUCAGCAGCCUCACCUCUGGCAGGCCGUGGCUGAGUGGCAGCACUCGGCAACAAGAGGACGAGUUCAGCAUGGCUGUCGUGGCGCGUGCCCAGUCUGAGGACACUCUGGACAGCAUAUACCAGAGCCACCGCGUGCUGCACCUUAGAAGCGACCAGUUCCUGCCGACGCUCCGGUGGCUGCAAUCGACAUUGGAAGCGAGAUCGCCGCUGCCUUCUCGGCGCUCCUACGCCCCGACAAUGAGACCUGGAAAGCGUUCACGGAAAGGACCUCUUGUGUGUCCGACGCAGCUUCGCCGACCGACAGUUUUUACGUCCUUCCGAAAGCCGCUUCUGUGCGCGUGCUGCACAAAGCAUUCACGCACGCCCUGAAUCGGACGGAGUCGCAGCCGCGCCUGGAAUACCUGCAGCAGCUGAGCUACGUGCAGCUUCUGUUCAUCGUGUGGUGCUACUUGCAGGGCGGACUGCCCGGAGAGCAGCGCCCGUGUGACUAGCCGGUGGCCGUGCUCCGAGCCUUCGGAGAAGCCUUCUAGUGUUCCGUUGGCAGCCCCAUGAGCUCGAGAAGGGACUGCACUUUCCUCGAGUGACGGCGACCAUUCUCUGCUUCUGUCACCUCCUCCUUCGCGAGCCUACCCAGAUUUCAAGACUCGUCUCUGCGAAAUAUAUACGUGGGCGCGCUAAGAACAAAAUAACUGACGGAAAACUCGCUUUCCGGGAGUAACCGCUUGUGCUCUAUUCAACUCUUUUGUUUGGAAUUCUUAAUGCUACUCCUCACUCGAGCA